rnacentral:lncRNA from 1 species
AAUGAUUUUGGCCAAACACCAUUUAACAAACACUUUAAGAGUGUAAUCCAGCAGGCAGCGUUAGACAAAGACGGAAAGCAAAAUGUGUACUUCUGCCCAAACUUUAUUCCAAAGUUUCAGAAGUACUUUCUGCCUCAGGCUGCCCACUGGUCAGGACUAUACUGGGUAACCUUGGACGCAAUAGAAAAGGAUCCUUUUAUGCAAAAGUGUCAAUGAGGUUUCAAAGACUGGCCCAGAAAUCAACUCAGAAUUACACUAGAGAUAAUAAAACACAGGGGAUUAUGGAGAAGAGCCAGUGGGAUCUAAAAAAGAUUCGCUUUCAACACAAGAGGCUCACACGACUUGAUGACUGUGCAAACUUACCAGACCAUGCAUGAUGCACUGCUGAGAGAGUACCGUGAUUCUCUGAAAACUAAGAACAAGAAUUAUAGGGUUGAGGUCGAAAAAUGGAAGCAGAGGAAACACAGGAGGAGAGAUGUAUAUGUUUCAUCAAUCCCAAAGGCUUUUGAUUUCAAGAAAGAUCAAGAAAAGAUGGUUUUGAAGACUCUCAACCAAUCUCUGUACGCGUCCAUCAUCCCAGAGCUGACAUCACUGUGGAAAACAAAAGACUCAGAAGUUGUUAUUGCUGUGCUUCCCUCCCAUAUUAGAGGAAAUAAUCUUGUGAUCCGCAACAGUGAGCUACGAUCACUGAGACCCCACCAGUGGCUUAAUGGCAAGAUUAUCGAGGGCCUCUUCCAUCUUUCUGCCAGCCAGUUCAACGUGGGAAACAGUCUUUACCUUCUCAAUUAUUUCACAGCAGGUGUAACACUUUUUGGGGAGCGAAGUCACCUCAGACGACAAGGCUUGUCAAAGAUCAACUUCAACAAUUACGAACAAUUACUCUCCUUUGUUAAUGUUGGCAGUAUCCACUGGAAGUUGCUGUACAUAGUUCCUGCCAUAGCCUCUGUAUUUUUGGUGGAUCCAGCAGCAAGUUCAUCAGAGGAAGCAGACUCUGAAGAUGCUGCAAAAAGAGUCAGUGAAUACUUCAAAAUGAGGAGGAUUUGCUAUAGCAAGGAGGAUUGGGGGACUGUCAAAUGGAGAGGAUCAACCAUGCACCAUCCAGUUCAACGUGAUGGCAGUAGUUGUGGGGUCAUUGUCACCAUGAUGGCGAGGGCAGUGAUGGAAGCCUUUCCUGCAUUACCAGUUACUGUAUGUCCUUCGGGACAUCCAAAAAGGAGAUGGCUUGUGAGAGGAGGACAUUUACACUUUCGAUACUCAGUGCUUCAGUUACAGUGUGAUAGCUGUGAUAGGUGGUUCCAUGAGCAGUGCCUGGGGAUGAGUAAGGACCAACUCCGAGACACCAGGGCAAGUGACUGGAAUUGCCCUGCCUGCACAUAGGACUUUAUUUUAAUUUAUUUUGUAUUUUUUUUAGUUUGAUAUUAUUUUUUUACUUUGUCUGCACAUGCUGGCCAAGGUGUUUUCAUACACAUAGGACUUAAGACAUCAAGCAGAUUUGACUUUAUUUUUGUCUGUUGUGUUAUGAGACCAAUUUUAGUCAGACAUAGACUUGGAAUGUUUCAUGUUUAAAGAAAUUGUGUGAUUUAAAUAACUUGACAGAUGUAUAUAAUUAAAGGUGUUCAUUAUGUUUUAUUUCAAAACACAACUUUCAAGUAUACUUGUAUAUUUUUUUUAUUUGUUUGUUUUAAAAAUGUGAAAAUAGGUAAAUAGUAUUUUGUUUGUGAAAUAGAUCAUUCCAUUUCAAGAGAUGCUUGUAUGUGUGUGUGUUUUGUAACACCAAAACAACCUUAGGUAAGUUGAACAUUAAAAGCCAGAAACAACACUUUUGGGACCAGCUGGCUCUCAACAAGUCUUGCGAGCGACACUGUCUACCCCUCAUCCUGUGAUCAGUGGGAGGGGCCUAUAAUGUCACCGGCUAUAACUCUCAUAUACAAAGUUCAAACAGUCUCAUAUUUGAUACACAUGGGUUACCCACCCCGGCCACUCCUUCGGACCCUACAACGCCGCUCACGGCCUUAAUUAUUAUUAUUAUUACUAAUGGAAAUUAUUGCUUCUCCCGUGUAUGAAAGUAUGUAUUAAAGAUUGUUGGGACACCUUAUCCACACAGUUGCUCAGGUCAGAGAGAAAACAAAGACACAGUUCAGUCUUUAGGUCUUUUAUAUUCCACAGCAUAACAACAGUGAUGAACUGUUCAUUAAUUCCACGGAUGAUGAUAUACUGUAGAUGGAUUAAAUUAAGGAGAAGCAGCAUUAAGACGGUAAAUGAUGAAUGAUGGGAUGGUACGCUGUUAAUAAUAAUAAAGAAAACAGAUGACGGGGCCUACUGAAAGUG